AUUGAACGCUGGCGGCAGGCCUAACACAUGCAAGUCGAGCGGAUGAAGGGAGGUUGCUCCUGGAUUCAGCGGCGGACGGGUGGGUAAUGCCUAGGAAUCUGCCUGGUAGUGGGGGAUAACGUCCGGAAACGGGCGCUAAUACCGCAUACGUCCUGAUGGAGAAAGUGGGGGAUCUUCGGACCUCACGCUAUCAGAUGAGCCUAGGUCGGAUUAGCUAGUUGGUGGGGUAAAGGCCUACCAAGGCGACGAUCCGUAACUGGUCUGAGAGGAUGAUCAGUCACACUGGAACUGAGACACGGUCCAGACUCCUACGGGAGGCAGCAGUGGGGAAUAUUGCACAAUGGGCGAAAGCCUGAUCCAGCCAUGCCGCGUGUGUGAAGAAGGUCUUCGGAUGGUAAAGCACUUUAAGUUGGGAGGAAGGGAAGUAAGUUAAUACCUUGCUGUUUUGACGUUACCAACAGAAUAAGCACCGGCUAACUUCGUG
rnacentral:rRNA from 1 species